rnacentral:rRNA from 1 species
CUGACGCAGCAACGCCGCGUGAGUGACGACGCCCUUCGGGGCGUAAAGCUCUGUUGCCCGGGACGAAGACCUGGGAGGUGAAGAGCCUCGUGGGGCGCCGGUACCGGGUGAGGAAGCCCCGGCUAACUCCGUGCCAGCAGCCGCGGUAAGACGGAGGGGGCGAGCGUUGUUCGGAAUUACUGGGCGUAAAGGGCGCGUAGGCGGCGCAUCAAGUGGAGCGUGAAAGCCCCCGGCUUAACCGGGGAAGGGCGGUGCCAAACUGAUGGGCUAGAGUGUCGGAGGGGGAGGCGGAAUUCCUGGUGGAGCGGUGAAAUGCGUAGAGAUCACGAAGAACGUCGGUGGGCGAAGGCGGCCUCCUGGACGUACACUGACGCUGAGGCGCGAGAGCGUGGGGGAGCGAACGGGAUUAGAUACCCCGGUAGUCCACGCCGUAUACGAUGGCAACUAGGUGUGGGGAUCGUGAUGAUGUCCGUGCCGGAGCUAACGCAGUGAGUGCCCCGCCUGGGGAGUACGUUCGCAAGGCUGAAACUCAAAGGAAUU